UACGAAGGGUGCAAGCGUUACUCGGAAUUACUGGGCGUAAAGCGUGCGUAGGUGGUUAUUUAAGUCCGUUGUGAAAGCCCUGGGCUCAACCUGGGAACUGCAGUGGAUACUGGAUGACUAGAAUGUGGUAGAGGGUAGCGGAAUUCCUGGUGUAGCAGUGAAAUGCGUAGAGAUCAGGAGGAACAUCCAUGGCGAAGGCAGCUACCUGGACCAACAUUGACACUGAGGCACGAAAGCGUGGGGAGCAAACAGGAUUAGAUACCCCAGUAGUCC
rnacentral:rRNA from 1 species